UGCACACUGGGGAUCAGACCUCUACCUU
rnacentral:piRNA from 1 species